UUUCAAAAAUACUAAAAUCUGAAUAAUUCCUAAAUCUUAAUUAUAUUAUUAUUUUAAUAUAAAUUUGAAAAGAAUACUAAAUAAAUAAAUAAAGCUUUGUCAUCAUCAUGUUCUUACCUUAAUGUUAAAGAAGAAAUAAGUUUUUGAAGCAACAUGAGGGGGCCAGCCAGUCAAACAGAUGAGAGAGGCUCUUCUCAUGCACUCAUGUGGGACACCUCUACCGUCGCCGUGAUUGACUGAGGAACUGCAUUGACAUUUUGAAAAGAGCUUGACAGAUGAGAGACCCAGACGGUCUUCACCUACCAUCACAAAAUAAAUUGGGCUUCCUAUCAGCUGUAA